rnacentral:rRNA from 1 species
GGAGUCUAACGUGUGCGCGAGUCAUUGGGUGUAAAACCUAAAGGCGCAAUGAAAGUGAAGGGGAGCUUGGCUCCCCGAGGGAGGAUGGGCCGGUCCUCGCGGCCGGUCCCGCACUCCCGGGGCGUUUUUGGCUCAUUGCGAGCGGAGACGCACCCAGAGCGUACGCGCUGGGACCCGAAAGAUGGUGAACUAUGCCUGGCCAGGACGAAGCCAGGGGAAACCCUGGUGGAGGUCCGUAGCGAUUCUGACGUGCAAAUCGAUCGUAAGAGCUGUGUAUAGGGGCGAAAGACCAAUCGAACCAUCUAGUAGCUGGUUCCCUCCGAAGUUUCCCUCAGGAUAGCUGGCGUUCAUGUGAGACGAGUCUCAGCUGGUAAAGCGAAUGAUUAGAGGCCUUGGGGUCGAAACGACCUCAACCUAUUCUCAAACUUUAAAUAGCUGAGAACCCCGGCUUGCUUAACGGUGAAGCCGCGGGGUCGGAUCCGAAUGCCAAGUGGGCCAAUUUUG